rnacentral:rRNA from 1 species
UAGGGAAUCUUCCGCAAUGGGCGAAAGCCUGACGGAGCAACGCCGCGUGAGUGAUGAAGGUCUUCGGAUCGUAAAACUCUGUUAUUAGGGAAGAAUAAAUGUGUAAGUAACUAUGCACGUCUUGACGGUACCUAAUCAGAAAGCCACGGCUAACUACGUGCCAGCAGCCGCGGUAAUACGUAGGUGGCAAGCGUUAUCCGGAAUUAUUGGGCGUAAAGCGCGCGUAGGCGGUUUUUUAAGUCUGAUGUGAAAGGCAGUGGCUCAACCAUUGUAGGCUUUGGAAACUGUUUAACUUGAGUGCAGAAGGGGAGAGUGGAAUUCCAUGUGUAGCGGUGAAAUGCGUAGAUAUAUGGAGGAACACCGGUGGCGAAAGCGGCUCUCUGGUCUGUAACUGACGCUGAGGCUCGAAAGCGUGGGGAGCGAACAGG